ensembl:lncRNA
CACGGGUACAGGGUGUUCUAUCACGGGUGCAGGGUGUUCUAUCAUGGGUGCAGGGUGUUCUAUCAUGGGUGCAGGGUGUUCUAUCAUGGGUGCAGGGUGUUCUAUCACGGGUGCAGGGUGUUCUAUCAUGGGUGCAGGGUGUUCUAUCACGGGUGCAGGGUGUUCUAUCACGGGUGCAGGGUGUUCUAUCACGGGUGCAGGGUGUUCUAUCACGGGUGCAGGGUGUUUUAUCACGGGUACAGGGUGUUCUAUCACGGGUACAGGGUGUUCUAUCACGGGUACAAGGUGUUCUAUCAUGGGUGCAGG